AUUGAACGCUGGCGGCAGGCCUAACACAUGCAAGUCGAGCGGAUGAAGGGAGCUUGCUCCUGGAUUCAGCGGCGGACGGGUGAGUAAUGCCUAGGAAUCUGCCUGGUAGUGGGGGAUAACGUCCGGAAACGGGCGCUAAUACCGCAUACGUCCUGAGGGAGAAAGUGGGGGAUCUUCGGACCUCCCGCUAUCGGAUGAGCCUAGGUCGGAUUAGCUAGUUGGUGGGGUAAAGGCCUACCAAGGCGACGAUCCGUAACUGGUCUGAGAGGAUGAUCAGUCACACUGGAACUGAGACACGGUCCAGACUCCUACGGGAGGCAGCAGUGGGGAAUAUUGGACAAUGGGCGAAAGCCUGAUCCAGCCAUGCCGCGUGUGUGAAGAAGGUCUUCGGAUUGUAAAGCACUUUAAGUUGGGAGGAAGGGCAGUAAGUUAAUACCUUGCUGUUUUGACGUUACCAACAGAAUAAGCACCGGCUAACUUCGUG
rnacentral:rRNA from 1 species